UCAUAAGUCAAAGUUACAAGGGAAUGCACCGCCUAUGUCAAUACAUGCAGUUAGUUUACUAAUGGAGGCUAUAUUUCUUAAAGCAAGGGCACUUAAUGACCUUGGCAAAUUUGCAGAAGCAGCACGAACCUGCAAUUCAAUUCUGGAUAUGGUUGAAUCUGCUGCACCGAAUGGUUUGCCCACAAUCUUUAGAAGAGGAUGUAGAUUGCAGGACAUAGUCUGCAAAUCUGUUGAAUUACUUCCAGAGUUGUGGAAAAUGGCUGAUAAUUCUCAUGGAGCCAUUUCAUCAUAUCGCCGGGCUCUUCUUGGAAAGUGGAACCUUGAUCCCCUGAGCAUUGGAAAAAUACGAAAAGAGUUUGCAAUUUUUCUUCUUUAUGGGGGCUGUGAUUCAAGUCCUCCUAAUCAGCAUUCUCAAAUGGAUAAUUACUUUGCGCCUAAGAACAAUUUGGAGGAGGCCAUCAUUCUCUUAAUGCUUCUCUUGAGUGAUUUCAAUGAGAAGAAAGCUGAAUGGGAUCCAUCAAUAAUCGAGCAUCUUACCUUUGCGUUGUCAAUCUCGGGCCAGCUAAAACCUCUCGCGAAUCGGUUUGAGGAAUUGCUUCCAGGUAUUCUUGAUCGAAAUGAAAGAUAUUAUAAACUUGGGUUAUGUUAUCUUGGAGAGGGCGAUAUUUUGACUGCUUUGAACCUGCUGAAAAAGAUUUUCAGUGAUAGGGAGGGUCCGAACUCCGUUAAAGCGCUCUUACUAGCUUCCAAAAUUUGCGGGGAGAACAGUGCUUAUGCGGAAGAAGGUGCGUCCUUCUCGCACAGGACGCUCACUACUUUGGAUGGAAGGUGCGAAUCACUUCAAAGCGUCGCGUAUUUCUUACUAGGAAUCUCUCUUUCAGCUCAGGCAAGGUUCUCCGCUUCUGAUUCCGAAAGAAUUGCUAAAGAGGACGAAGCACUCGAGGCGCUCGAAAAUGCUGUGAAAUUUAUGCAAGUAACAGACUGCGGAGUGAUAUAUCACCUCAGCUUAGAAAAUGCGAAGCAGAGGAAGUUGGACGUUGCACUCAGUUAUGCCAAACAGCUAUUGAAAUUGGAAGCUGGAUCAAAUGUGAAUAGUUGGAUUCUUGUGGCUCGAAUAUUAUCAGCGCAGAAGAGGUUCGUUGAUGCCGAGACGAUUGUUAAUGCUGCCAUUGACCAGACGGGAAAAUGGAGCCAGGGCGAACUUCUUCGAACCAAAGCGAGAAUCCAGAUUGCGCGAGGGCAAUUACAGAAAGCCGUGGAGACGUAUACUAAUCUUCUUGCAGUGAUCCGACUUCGGAAUAAAAAUUUGGUUUUUCAAACGAAGUCUUCAAAGAUUGCUGAGGUAGAUAGAAAAUUAGAAAUGGGAGCUUGGUAUGAUCUGGCUACUGUUUAUACAAGUAUGUCCAAUUGGAGGGAUGCUGAGGUUUGCAUCUCAAAAUUGAAGGCUAUUAGUCCUUAUUCUGCUUUAGGGUGGCAUGCCACAGGACAACUUCAGGAAGCAAAGGGACUUCAUAAGGAAUCUUUAACAUCAUAUUCUAAAGCUCUUGAUUUGGAACCAACACAUGUUCCAAGUUUGGUUUCUACGGCCAUUGUACUCAGACAUUGUGGCGACAGGCCAUUUGCCGCCGUAAGAAGCUUCCUAACAGAGGCAUUGCGUCUUGAUAGAACUAACCAUGUUGCUUGGUUGAAUCUCGGUUUACUUUAUGAAGCUGAGGGUGCUUCGGCUGUCGAGGCUGCCGGUUUCCAGGCAGCUGCCGUUCUCGAAGAGUCAGCACCAGUUGAACCUUUUUUAUGAUCUCUGGAUCCAGCCAAAGGGGUGGCCUCCACAAGCGUAUCCUGGGUAGGAGCAUCCUGUGGGGGUGCUGCAGGUUGAAUAGGACUAAUGGACUGUGGAGUCUUCUCCAGAGGUGUCGUACGAGGUGGGAGUAUUUUGCCACUCCAAAGGUUAAUUUAGAAUAUAUCCUUUGUAGAAGUUGUAGCGGCAUCUAAUAAUUGUUCCAUGACCUUUGCGGCAUCUUCUUGAGAUCCUUCAGAGUCGGAAGCUUUUACCUUAGUUUAGAUAGAAUCUUCCGAACAUUUUUAAGAUCGAGUUUGAAAAAUGCGGGGAAAGGAGGACUUUUUACCAUGAAGAGAUAUCUACAAGUGAUCUUCACUUAGAAGGGCGACUCUAAUGAUGCUGCAAUGACGAGUAGACUGGAACAGGUAAAAAAUAGUAGCGCUACAGAAAUUGGAGUUGGUGGAACUUCUCAAUUUGUUGGAAUGUUGCACCAAUCUAAUGGCUAAAACACUGCACCAUCUUCAUGCGCUGCGAAUAUCUUAUAAAAUUUUAAUCAGGUUUCGAUUUCUCAUUUGCUAAUAUAGAAACAUAGUUUUUGUGAAAAGUGUUGAAAUGUUCGCCCAACUCUUUGUAGGUAGCUAUUUUAGUCUCAUGGUCUUUAAAAGAGUCAAUUUAGUGUUCCGACUUUUUUAAUAGAGGCUAAAAUAGUUCUUUUUGUGAUUUAUUUUAGCUCAUAUUAGAAGGGUCUAGAGUCUAAUUUAAUACUUUCAUAGACUCCGGGAUUAAAACAGCCCUAUGUAAAUAGUUCGGGAUUAUUUUGACACGUUUCUGCAAUUUUUUUUUUUUUUCAUAUUUUAUUGUACUUAAGUGCAAUCUUUCAGUUAUAGGACUCCAUGCUUCAAAAUGCAACAUUCAAUAAAACACAAAUAGCAUGAAACUCUUGGCCCCGACACUCAAACAUGCAGUACAGUGAUUGGAAAUAAAGUGAAAAAAUCCUAAAAUGUUGGGUUUCGGCACUCACCCUCAAAAAAUAAUGUUAAAAUAGCUUGUAAACUGCUCGUCAAGUGUGUAAAAAUACAGUUGUUGCAUAUGGCAAGAUAUAACAAAAUGUUGAGAAUGGAUUCAUCCGAGUUCAGAAAAGCAGAAGUUUGUAGCAGAAUGAGAAUCACCCAUGGCUUCUUACAUCUUUCCUCACCUUCUCAGUCUGUUGAUUUUUUCUUUUGUUUUCAGGCGCCAAGGAUGUAGUGCACUUGGAUGAAUGAGAAUCUCAACAGAGGUAAAUAUUGCAUUGUAUGUUUUUUCUGGGGCAGUUGCAUGCAUGCCACACAAUUCUUAUAUAUUUGCAUGUCUUAACACUUAAACUUUCAUAUUUACAUGCAUACUCGUUUGUCUGUAAGAGCACAUAAGAUAUAUCACUAUUUAUAAUUUUUUGAAAGUGAAAUACACAUUUUCAUCCAUAGCUUUAUA